UCGGAUAUGGUGUAACGGCUAACAUUGCCGCCUCUCAUAGUUCGUACUAAAUGUCUUGUGCGCGGCAGCUCGGGAUUCGAUUCCCCGUAUCCGAA